UACGAAGGGGGCUAGCGUUGUUCGGAAUUACUGGGCGUAAAGCGCGUGUAGGCGGGUCUUUAAGUCAGGGGUGAAAUGCCAAGGCUCAACCUUGGAACUGCCUUUGAUACUGGAGAUCUUGAGUCCGGGAGAGGUGAGUGGAACUGCGAGUGUAGAGGUGAAAUUCGUAGAUAUUCGCAAGAACACCAGUGGCGAAGGCGGCUCACUGGCCCGAUACUGACGCUGAGGUGCGAAAGCGUGGGGAGCAAACAGG
rnacentral:rRNA from 1 species